UAAACACCUGGAAACAGAUGCUAAUACCGGAUACAACAGAUGAUGCCUAUCAACUGUUUAAAAGAUGGUUCUGCUAUCACUCUUGGGAUGGACCUGCGGUGCAUUAGCUAGUUGGUAGGGUAACGGCCUACCAAGGCGAUGAUGCAUAGCCCGAGUUGAGAGACUGAUCGGCCACAUUGGGACUGAGACACGGCCCAAACUCCUACGGGAGGCAGCAGUAGGGAAUCUUCCACAAUGGACGCAAGUCUGAUGGAGCAACGCCGCGUGAGUGAAGAAGGGUUUCGGAUCGUAAAGCUCUGUUGUUGGUGAAGAAGGAUAGAGGUAGUAACUGGGCCUUUAUUUGACGGUAAUCAACCAGAAAGUCACGGCUAACUACGUGCCAGCAGCCGCGGUAAU
rnacentral:rRNA from 1 species